rnacentral:tRNA from 1 species
GCCUGGCUGGUUCAGUCCAUAGAGCUUGCGACUCUUGAUCGCGAGGUUGUAAGUUCAAGCCCCACGUUGGGUA